UACGUAGGUGGCAAGCGUUGUCCGGAUUUACUGGGCGUAAAGAGCGCGCAGGCGGUCGUUCAAGUCGCGUGUGAAAGCCCCCGGCUCAACUGGGGAGGGUCACGCGAUACUGAUCGACUCGAAGGCAGGAGAGGGUAGUGGAAUUCCCGGUGUAGCGGUGAAAUGCGCAGAUAUCGGGAAGAACACCUAUGGCGAAGGCAGCUCUCUGGACGGUAC
rnacentral:rRNA from 1 species